GACCCAGUAGCGGACGGUCCGCGCCCGCGCCGUGUAUAGAUGUAGGCGUUAAGUUUGUCCAGCGAGAGUUCUUGGUUCGACUCCAGGCUGGGUCA